CAUGUUCAUAUAAAUUAUAAGGUAGUAUGACCUGAGAACUUCUUUAAUGACUACAGUUCCUUUGAUCCAUAAUAAGAAAUUCCAAUUCACUGGCAAGCCCUCCUUUCUUAUUAGUGAGCUGAAUAGAUGGGCAAAAGAUGAGUGCACACAUUAGAGGCAGAAAAAAAGGAUCUGAUUUUCAGAAAAUAGGGCAUCUCUUGCAAAUCGCUUAAUCACGCCUAUGAGGAAAUAUGGAGGAUCAGAAGUUCCAUUAACCUUAGCACCAUGGGAGGAAUAAAACAUGGCUAAAGUGUUCCACUAGGUAGCAAACAGAAGAGAAGCAAAUCGGGAGGGAGGUGAGCCCAAUAGGGGAAGAAAAAGCAUCAGGAUAGGGGGCCAGCAAAGAACAGCACAGAAACGCAGAACCUGGAGGGACACGGAGCAGCAGCUCCUACCAGCUGCCUGAGGUUCUGCUCAGAGAUCAUAACCUGGUACAUAUUGUGACCCAACCAGGUUUGUUUUGCCCAGUGCAGAGCAAGGAAAAUACUGAGAUGCCAACGUUUCCAGCACGGCGCACAGACUACAGUGAUAAAUCUCAAACCCACCUCCCUACCCAAGCUCUGACGGAGCUCCUUGCUGUCACCCUCCAGGCAGAGGGAAGAAUAGGCUGCUGGCGCCUCCACCGCACAUACUUAGGCAAUUGAUGCUCUGCUGGAGUAGAAGUCGGGGACUGGGAGCCCGGUGUGAAGCGUGACCUGGGGGAAGAGACUGUGAGUCCUGGAAGCACUGCAGGAUUUCCCCUGCCCCCCUUCCCAGGGCACAGUGGAGACCCCAAUGAAAAUGCAUCCUGGGGAAAUCUUUGAAAAUAAAGUGUAUCCACAAAAGACACUUCUCUACCUAGGAAACUGGUGAAAAAUACAUCUGAGGAAGAAGACACAAGCCAAAUGGAAAAAUGAGGUCUAGAGAAAAUAUCACAGAAUGUGUUAAAUUACAAUGCUUAUAUUUUAGCAGUAACGAAAACCUCUGGAGGUUCCUCUGUUCUUUUUCCCCAGAAAAUUGGGUGCUGAAUUCAUACACUAACAGGAGAGUUCUUCAAGUGUAAAACUAUCCGAAUUGGUAUCCAUAAGAUUUGGCUCAAUGAAUGACUACUAUUCUGAGCUGUGGUAUUAAUAAUUAUAUUAAGAAGAACAAUGGCUUCUAUUUUCCGGUGCCUCUGAUGGGAGGCAUUUUUGCAUGUCUCCAUUGUGGGAACAUUUCUGCAAGGAAAAAUAUGAUUCUCCUAAUUUAGUGGAUUUGGAAAGUGAGGGUCAGAAAAACUAAGUAUCUUUAUCCCAAAAUGCUUUUCUGGUAAGUUGCAAGUCUAUGUUUUAGAAUCCUGGAAUGUUUUUCUAUAACAGAGAUUCACAGGGAUUCUUAGUUUCCAGCCCCGGGUAGAAUAUAGCCAUGAGGGGCCUAGGAAAGUACUCAUGUCUCUGUUAUUACGCAAAAAAUAUAAAACACCAGGUUGGACUCAGCUGAGUAGUUGAACUUAAUAAAGUCGCCUGCCCGACUUCC